GAUCAGUAAAAGGUUAUAUUAUAUAUAGACGGGAGAGAUCAGUAAAAGGUUAUAUUAUAUAUAGACGGGAGAGGUCAGUAAAAGGUUAUAUUAUAUAUAGACGGGGAGAGAUCAGUAAAAGGUUAUAUUAUAUAUAGACGGGGAGAGAUCAGUAAAAGGUUAUUUUAUAUAAACGGGGAGAGAUCAGUAAAAGGUUAUAUUAUAUAUAGACGGGGAGAGAUCAGUAAAAGGUUAUAUUAUAUAGACGGGAGAGAUCAGUAAAAGGUUAUAUUAUAUAGACGGGGAGAGAUCAGUAAAAGGUUAUUUUAUAUAUAGACGGGAGAGAUCAGUAAAAGGUUAUAUUAUAUAUAGACGGGGAGAGAUCAGUAAAAGGUUAUAUUAUAUAGACGGGGAGAGAUCAGUAAAAGGUUAUAUUAUAUAUAGACGGGGAGAGAUCAGUAAAAGGUUAUAUUAUAUAUAGACGGGGAGAGAUCAGUAAAAGGUUAUAUUAUAUAUAGAUGGGGAGAGAUCAGUAAAAGGUUAUAUUAUAUAUAGACGGGGAGAGAUCAGUAAAAGGUUAUUUUAUAUAUAGACGGGGAGAGAUCAGUAAAAGGUUAUAUUAUAUAUAGACGGGGAGAGAUCAGUAAAAGGUUAUAUUAUAUAUAGACGGGGAGAGAUCAGUAAAAGGUUAUAUUAUAUAUAGACGGGAGAGAUCAGUAAAAGGUUAUAUUAUAUAUAGACGGGGAGAGAUCAGUAAAAGGUUAUAUUAUAUAUAGACGGGGAGAGAUCAGUAAAAGGUUAUAUUAUAUAUAGACGGGGAGAGAUCAGUAAAAGGUUAUAUUAUAUAGACGGGGAGAGAUCAGUAAAAGGUUAUAUUAUAUAUAGACGGGGAGAGAUCAGUAAAAGGUUAUAUUAUAUAUAGACGGGGAGAGAUCAGUAAAAGGUUAUAUUAUAUAUAGACGGGGAGAGAUCAGUAAAAGGUUAUAUUAUAUAGACGGGAGAGAUCAGUAAAAGGUUAUAUUAUAUAUAGACGGGGAGAGAUCAGUAAAAGGUUAUAUUAUAUAUAGACGGGGAGAGAUCAGUAAAAGGUUAUAUUAUAUAUAGACGGGAGAGAUCAGUAAAAGGUUAUAUUAUAUAUAGACGGGGAGAGAUCAGUAAAAGGUUAUAUUAUAUAUAGACGGGGAGAGAUCAGUAAAAGGUUAUAUUAUAUAUAGACGGGAGAGAUCAGUAAAAGGUUAUAUUAUAUAUAGACGGGGAGAGAUCAGUAAAAGGUUAUAUUAUAUAUAGACGGGGAGAGAUCAGUAAAAGGUUAUAUUAUAUAUAGACGGGGA